rnacentral:rRNA from 1 species
UGAUGUGGAUUAAUUCGAUGCAACGCGAAAACCUACCUACGCUGACAUGUCAGGAACCUCGAAGAGAUUUGAGGGUGCCGAAAGGGAACCUGAACACAGGUGCUGCAUGGCUGUCGUCAGCUCGUGUCGUGAGAUGUUGGGUUAAGUCCCGCAACGAGCGCAACCCUUAUCAUUAGUUGCUACGCAAGGGCACUCUAAUGAGACUGCCGGUGACAAACCGGAGGAAGGUGGGGAUGACGUCAAGUCCUCAUGGCCCUUAUGCGUAGGGCUUCACACGUCAUACAAUGGUCGGUACAGAGGGUUGCCAACCCGCGAGGGGGAGCCAAUCCCACAAAGCCGAUCGUAGUCCGGAUUGCAGUCUGCAACUCGACUGCAUGAAGUCGGAAUCGCUAGUAAUCGCGGAUCAGCAUGUCGCGGUGAAUACGUUCCCGGGUCUU